rnacentral:rRNA from 1 species
GACGAACGCUGGCGGCGUGCCUAAUACAUGCAAGUAGAACGCACAGUUUAUACCGUAGCUUGCUACACCAUAAACUGUGAGUUGCGAACGGGUGAGUAACGCGUAGGUAACCUGCCUGGGAGCGGGGGAUAACUAUUGGAAACGAUAGCUAAUACCGCAUAAUAUUGAUUAUUGCAUGAUAAUUGAUAGAAAGAUGCUAUUGCAUCAAUACCAGAUGGACCUGCGUUGGAUUAGCUAGUAGGUGAGGUAACGGCUCACCUAGGCGACGAUACAUAGCCGACCUGAGAGGGUGAUCGGCCACACUGGGACUGAGACACGGCCCAGACCCCUACGGGAGGGAGCAGUAGGGAAUCUUCGGCAAUGGACGUAAGUCUGACCCAGCAACGCCGCGUGAGUGAAGAAGAUUUUCGGAUCGUAAAGCUCAGUUUUCAGAGAAGAACGGGUGUGAGAGUGGAAAGUUCACACUGUGACGGUAGCUUACCAGAAAGGGACGGCUAACUACGUG